UUAGUGCCAAAAGGAGGAAGAAGGCAGUGUAUUUUGAGUUUUCAGUGUCCAACCCUCCCUCUGAGAAGCGAAGGUUCCCUUUUAUAAGGGGGCCGGCGUACCUGUGAUGUGAUAGGGCGAGGCCGUUUGUACGACUCGGCACGUUGCUUGGACUGGCGAACGGUCGGGCGAAUCAUUGCAUUAAUGUCGAAAAUGAGGCCGUCGUACGACCCGAGCCGGCACGCGAUCGGGCGAAUUAUUGCGUUGGUGUCGGAGGUGAGGCCGAGAUCAGAGACUUAACACGGUUGAUUGGACCCCGCUGGGCUGAUCUGCCGUGGAGAGUCAUGGGUCCGUAGACAACAGGAGCCACGCGCAUUAAUUGUUGAGUAAGCCGGAGGUGCGCAUUAAUUGUUGAGUAGGCCGGAGACUUUCAUUAAGUGUUGAGUGAACCGGGGGUUUGCAGAGAUCAUGCGUAAUAAAUGCUGGGGCAGUGGCAGGAUAUGGCCCUUGGCUAGACCUCUGAGGGGUACGGCCGUAGUAGGUGAUUGACGAGGACAGACCUUCGAGGUCGGGAAUUCUUCGGGUCGGAGGCUCUGAGGUCGGACGCCGACCUCAGUCGUCCGGGGUCAGUGGUCAUGCGGCCUUCCAGUGGCGGGGUUACUGUAUUACCGGGGAAAACUGUAUUCCCC
rnacentral:lncRNA from 1 species